rnacentral:miRNA from 1 species
UGUUGCACUUUUUUUUUUUU